rnacentral:rRNA from 1 species
UGGUGGGUAGUUUGACUGGGGCGGUCUCCUCCUAAAGAGUAACGGAGGAGCACGAAGGUUGGCUAAUCCUGGUCGGACAUCAGGAGGUUAGUGCAAUGGCAUAAGCCAGCUUGACUGCGAGCGUGACGGCGCGAGCAGGUGCGAAAGCAGGUCAUAGUGAUCCGGUGGUUCUGAAUGGAAGGGCCAUCGCUCAACGGAUAAAAGGUACUCCGGGGAUAACAGGCUGAUACCGCCCAAGAGUUCAUAUCGACGGCGGUGUUUGGCACCUCGAUGUCGGCUCAUCACAUCCUGGGGCUGAAGUAGGUCCCAAGGGUAUGGCUGUUCGCCAUUUAAAGUGGUACGCGAGCUGGGUUUAGAACGUCGUGAGACAGUUCGGUCCCUAUCUGCCGUGGGCGCUGGAGAACUGAGGGGGGCUGCUCCUAGUACGAGAGGACCGGAGUGGACGCAUCACUGGUGUUCGGGUUGUCAUGCCAAUGGCACUGCCCGGUAGCUAAAUGCGGAAGAGAUAAGUGCUGAAAGCAUCUAAGCACGAAACUUGCCCCGAGAUGAGUUCUCCCUGAGACUUUAAGUCUCCUGAAGGAACGUUGAAGACGACGACGUUGAUAGGCCGGGUGUGUAAGCGCAGCGAUGCGUUGAGCUAACCGGUACUAAUGAACCGU